CAGGACAAAACUUAAUGAUGUUUUUUCUACCACAGGAUUACUGAGAUUUCGUGUGAAGAAAACUGUGGUUACAGGCUAUAUGUUGAUGAUGAAAUUACACUGUGUUGUUGAGAAAAUGUUGGAGAAAAUAUGAAUGUUACAGGGAAGAAGUAAAUACAGUGUGAUGAGACCAGUGUUAACUUUAUGACCUUUUACAGCACCUCUGGAAUCUGGAUGGCCGACACCUGACAACCAGGUUGAACCGUGUGUUUGUUUUUCUUUAAGAGUGCUUGUAAAGGAUUCAGCACAGACAGACAUGUGACAAUUGAACAGAUGUGCAGUGGUUACAGAAUAGUUACAUGGGGUUCAUUAUCUGACCACUAUUGGGCUCAUGGUGAGUGACAAACUUAAGGAAAGUCACUGAUUACAAUGUGGAAUGACGUUGAGAUGUUAAAUGAUUUGGAACAAAUUAUGGAAAAAAGCAGGAGCUUAAUGAGUUUAGAAUAAACCUGCAAUGAUACUUGUCUCUGUGAUGCUGAAUACUUUAUUACACUUAUGAGCUGCAGUUGGUUGCAAAUGUGAAGUUGUUUUAACUUUAAGACUUCGUCUUCUAGGAUACAGGCUGGAGCUGGGAGUUAAACAAGCUAAACAUUUAAUUGCUGACUAAUGUGUUUUUACACAGGAUUACAGGUUGAAGUGAAGCUGCUCCAAGGACAAACCCUGGAGAUUGUUUUAGGGAGACUGUGCAACAUUCUUGUACAUGUCUCAUUGGGGAGUUGACACAUGGCAGAAGCCAUGUGGCGAGAGGAGUGUCAUUUUUCUAAUGUGUAGAUGUCGUGAGGUGCCAUGACAAGAAGGAGUGGCUGAGGGGAUCGUCCACAAGAUGGAAGCUGAGGCCUGGAGAGAGUCUUCAGGAGGAUCAGAGAUCACCUUCAGCACAGCAGACAUCGCGCAGAGAGCUGUGCUACUGGGCUUCCAGGAGAUCGUCAUGAGGAGACUCUGCACAGCAAAAUCUUAAAUAAGAUGAAAGACUUUCGACAUUGACGUUGAGGAAGACAACUAAGGUGUACGACGUGCUCUGCCUUUAAAAUCUUCAGCAACGUUGGAUCAUGAGAACCUGAGGGAGCGUGCCAAGCUCCAAAAAGUGACAGCGCAGAGGAGGUCCAGCGAUGGACUUGUGGUUCUGUGAACAGCACAAAUGCCAGGACUUUCUGCAAAGUUUGGAUGCAUUCACCGGAGCGAACGGAUGACUGAAAAAAACAAAAACCACUGUCUGACAAGACUGCAGCUUUGCGUUUCUGCCACAGCUCUCAUUUACGUUUCAGCAUGGGAGACUUGACUGAAUUCCUGAAACAAAGAGAAGUCUCUGAGGAAAUUAUACAGACCUUGGAGAAUGAGAAGAUUGAUGCCAGUGUCAUAAGUCUAAUGACAGAUGAGGAGCUGAAGACUUAUUUGCCAUCAUAUGGUGAUCGUCUAGCAGUAU